GGGCCUCCGAGUCUAGCGGUGCGCCUGCUUUGCAAGCAGGAUGUCGGGAGUUCGAUUCUCCCAGGCUCCA
rnacentral:tRNA from 1 species